rnacentral:rRNA from 1 species
UGGGGGAUAUUGCACAAUGGGCGAAAGCCUGAUGCAGCGACGCCGCGUGGGGGAUGAAGGCCUUCGGGUUGUAAACUUCUUUUGCUCUGAACAAGGCGCACCAUGGGGUGUGUUGAGUGUAGGGGUUGAUUAGCGCCGGCUAACUACGUGCCAGCAGCCGCGGUAAUACGUAGGGCGCGAGCGUUGUCCGGAAUUAUUGGGCGUAAAGGGCUUGUAGGUGGCUGGUUGCGUCUGUCGUGAAAGCUCAUGGCUUAACUGUGGGUUUGCGGUGGGUACGGGCUGGCUUGAGUGCCGUAGGGGAGGCUGGAAUUCCUGGUGUAGCGGUGGAAUGCGCAGAUAUCAGGAGGAAUACCGGUGGCGAAGGCGGGUCUCUGGGCUGUUACUGACACUGAGGAGCGAAAGCAUGGGGAGCGAACAGG